CCUACGGGUGGCAGCAGUGGGGAAUAUUGCACAAUGGGGGAAACCCUGAUGCAGCGACGCCGCGUGAAGGAAGAAGUAUUUCGGUAUGUAAACUUCUAUCAGCAGGGAAGAAAAUGACGGUACCUGACUAAGAAGCCCCGGCUAACUAUGUGCCAGCAGCCGCGGUAAUACGUAGGGGGCAAGCGUUAUCCGGAUUUACUGGGUGGAAAGGGAGCGUAGGCGGCGAUGCAAGUCAGAAGUGAAAGCCCGGGGCUCAACUCCGGGACUGCUUUUGAAACUGUAUGGCCAGAUUGCAGGAGAGGCAAGUGGAAUUCCUAGUGGUGCGGUGAAAUGCGUAGAUAUUAGGAGGAAAACCAGUGGCGAAGGCGGCUUGCUGGACUGUAAAUGACGCUGAGGCUCGAAAGCGUGGGGAGCAAACAGGAAUAGAUACCCCAGUAGGC
rnacentral:rRNA from 1 species